CUGUGUUUGGCUCCAGAGUGUAGAGCCUGGGCUUGUGAAGACAGGGGGAGCCUUCCAGGCCUCUAAUUUCCUGAAGCCAUUUGUGGGGACUCCUGAACACACCUGGAGGAAGUCCCGCCUCUCUCCAGAAGAACAGGGCAAAACACUGCCCUCUGACGACAAAUUGUAGUUGCUUUUCCCAGGAGCACUGAGCUUUAAUUUUUUUUUUUUUUUUUUUUUUUUUCCUGAGACAGAGUCUUGCUUCGUCACCAGGUUGGAGUGCAGUGGCGCAAACUCGGCUCACUGCAACCUCCGCCUCCCGGGUUCAAGCGAUUCUUCUGCCUCAGCCUCCUGAGUAGCUGAGAUUAUAGGCACCCACCACCACGCCCAGCUAAUUUUUGUAUUUUUAGUGGAGACAAGGUUUCACCAUGGUGGCUGGGAUGGUUUCGAGCUCCUGAACUUGUGAUCCACCUGCCUUGGCCUCCCAAAGUGCUGAGAUUACAGGCGUGAGCUACCACGCCGGCCUGAAUCUUAAUUUUUGUUCCGCAAACGCCCUCCUUCUGCCCUCAGGCCUGGGAGGAAAAUGCUCCUUCUCUAACUCCGUGGAGUCUCUGCCCCAAGGGGAUCCAUCAAACAGGAAAUUCAGGAUUCCAAUUUGUAGGGACAAGUACCAAAUUUCCUUCCAGAAAGCUUGACAAAUUACCUUCCACCAACUGCAUGCAAGAAAACCUCUCACCUCUACCAGGCUGAGGAGCUGACGUUUCAUCUGGGCCUGAAGAAUGAGUAAAUUUCCAGGUGGGAAAAGGUCAUUGUGAUAUUGGAGAGGAGUCAUUGUUAGGACUUGUAUUCCUUCCAGGAUAGGAAGGUGACCAAUUGAGCCUGGCCAACUAAAGAGUGGAGAGUUAGAGAAGGCUGGAACUCAGAUAUGUCUUCCAUCCUGAGAUUUUCAGCCGGUGUAGACUGUAACAAGCAUGUGAUGAGCCAGAAGCAAAGUAAAAGGACUAAGGACAUCUUGCGAUUUGGGACUGGUCAUUCCUGCUGCUCAGAACCAGCCCACUCCACGCAGAGAUCACCUGGGAGAACCCAGACUCCUUCCAGUCCUUCCCCGCCGGCUGCAGCUCUUCCUUCUCACUGUAGGCUGGGAACCAGGAUGCCUGCCUUCCUAGGUAUGGACGAGCUUCUCCCUCGUGUGGAUCCCGUGGUGG
rnacentral:lncRNA from 10 species